rnacentral:lncRNA from 10 species
AACAAAUCAUGGUAGUAAAAUGGCGGCAGAGAGCUAGUAAUGUGUCUGCAAUUGGUGGGUUCUUGGUCGCACUGACUUCAAGAAUGAAGCCGCGGACCCUCACGGUAUGACAGCUCCUCUCCCAACAGCUCUACUUUCUACAUCUACUCUCUACCACCACAAAACUUCUUUCAGUUCCAUGAAAGGGCCAUGUUUUUCUGGUCUCUUGGCCUAGGAGCAUGUUGUUCUUCUGCCAGCAACCUUCUUCAACCAUCUCCACAGGAUGACUCCUCUAUUGGAUACUUCCAUGAAAAGUCCAGGCCUGGGUUAUGUACCCUUCCCAAAGUGCACCCCAGACACCCAACAGUUUUUCCAGCCCAGACUCACCACACUGUGUGGUAAUUUCCUGAUCACUCAGUUGUGCUCCCCACAGACUAUAAGCUCUAUGAGGGCAGGGGCCACAGUUUGCUUGUUCACUACUAUAUGCUCAGUACCUGGUAAAUAUUAGUUGACUGAAGAAUGACUAUGUGGUAAUCUAUUCCAUUGGUGGCCUCCAGUGAACCAUGUCUUCUGGUAUUUACAUCUUGUGUGGUCCCCUCCAUUAAAUUUGGGCUUUAACCAACAGAAUGCUGCAGAAGCGACACCCUGCCACUUGUGCUUUUGUGAUCCUAGCCACCAGUAAGAAGCCCUGUGACCUUGCUGAGACCCUGAAGAGACCACAUAGAGAGGCCACUUGAAGGGCAAGGGGUCCUGACUCUACAUGGAGAGAGAAGCCCAGCCAUCCCUGUUUCCCAGCUGAGUCCUGACCAGAUAACUCACUACAAGACUGACCACAGGCAAGAACAGCAGAAGAGCUGCCCAGCUGAGCCCAUCCAAGAGUGCAGAAUUUCAAGCAAGUAAAAUGACUAAUGUUAGAACUCAGAAUGAAGGGGCCUCAGGUUACCUGCAUCAUUCUGGUUUUUUGCUCCUGUUUUACUACGAAGCAAACACCUCGACUAUAAGCCGCCAUAGACCAGGGUCUGUGUCUCAUUCGUGUCUGGACAAUGCAUCACAGACACUCAACUGUUUUCUGCCUGAGCAGAAUUAAGACUUGGCCUCCUAACUCCUCCAUCACCAUCUUCUCCACUCUCUUCCUUGGCCUUCAUCACCAACACCACCUCAUCAACCGUGAAAGAUUCAAAGAGUAAGGAAAACCAUUUCUAGGACCAUGAAAUGUGUCACUGGAUCUCCUGCAGAAAUCUGCCAGAGCUACAAUGUGACUGGUUUCUACAUGUCUGACAAAUUUCUAUUUAAAUAAGUAUUUUUCAAAAUGCAAAUUGCUACCUAUUCUUUGGCCAUCAAAUCACUUUAGUGGGUUGCAACCGGCUUUUUCUUCUUAAUAGAAAAGGAAAUGUGUUGCAUUUGGUAAACAUGGAAAUUGUUUUAU